AACCCUUCAAGCUCUGCUUGGUGUUGGGCGUUUGUCCCGCCUAAGGCGCGGACUCGCCUUAAAAUCAUUGGCGGCCUGUGCAUUGGCUUCGAGCGCAAGCAGAUUCGCGCCUCCGAACCGGCACACUGGCGUCCAGUAAGCCACUCACCCAA
rnacentral:misc_RNA from 1 species